rnacentral:rRNA from 1 species
AUUGAACGCUGGCGGCAUGCCUUACACAUGCAAGUCGAACGGCAGCACGGAGCUUGCUCUGGUGGCGAGUGGCGAACGGGUGAGUAAUAUAUCGGAACGUACCCAAGAGUGGGGGAUAACGUAGCGAAAGUUACGCUAAUACCGCAUACGAUCUAAGGAUGAAAGUGGGGGCUCGCAAGACCUCAUGCUCCUGGAGCGGCCAAUAUCUGAUUAGCUAGUUGGUGAGGUAAAGGCUCACCAAGGCAUCGAUCAGUAGCUGGUCUGAGAGGACGACCAGCCACACUGGAACUGAGACACGGUCCAGACUCCUACGGGAGGCAGCAGUGGGGAAUUUUGGACAAUGGGGGCAACCCUGAUCCAGCAAUACCGCGUGAGUGAAGAAGGCCUUCGGGUUGUAAAGCUCUUUUGUCAGGGAAGAAACGGUGAAGGCUAAUAUCCUUUGCUAAUGACGGUACCUGAAGAAUAAGCACCGGCUAACUACGUGCCAGCCGCCGCCGUAA